rnacentral:tRNA from 1 species
GCCGAGAUAGCUCAGUUGGUUAGAGCAGAAGACUGAAAAUCUUUGUGUCACCAGUUCAAAUCUGGUUCUUGGCA